AGUGAACGCUGGCGGCGUGCCUAAUACAUGCAAGUCGAACGGAGUGGCGCACGGGUGAGUAAUAUAUAGCUAACUUGCCCAUUACUAAGGGACAACAGUUGGAAACGACUGCUAAUACCUUAUAGUAAUGGAUAGGGCUAUAUCGUAUCAGCUAGUUGGUAAGGUAACGGCUUACCAAGGCUAUGACGCGUAACUGGUCUGAGAGGAUGAUCAGUCACACUGGAACUGAGACACGGUCCAGACUCCUACGGGAGGCAGCAGUAGGGAAUAUUGCUCAAUGGGGGAAACCCUGAAGCAGCAACGCCGCGUGGAGGAUGACACUUUUCGGAGCGUAAACUCCUUUUCUUGGGAAAGCGGUACCCAAGGAAUAAGCACCGGCUAACUCCGUGCCAGCAGCCGCGGUAAUUC
rnacentral:rRNA from 1 species